CAGUCGCGUUCUCUGGGAUUCAGCCUUGCUUCUGCUUGGUGUACUUUCUGGUUUGAUGGGCCAACAUCAAUUUUGACCGUUGGAGAAAGGCUUUGGGAAUGUGGCACCUUAGGGUGUGUUAUAGCUUCUGGUCGUAUACAUCGGUUGGGAUUGAGGAACUCAGCACGCCGCAAGGUCGGGGUUCGCCCCGACGUUCGUGCUUAGGAUGCUGGCAUAAUGGCUUUAAUCGACCCGUCUUGAAACACGGACCAAGGA
rnacentral:rRNA from 1 species